rnacentral:rRNA from 1 species
GACGAACGCUGGCGGCGUGCUUAACACAUGCAAGUCGAACGGAAAGGCCCUGCUUUUGUGGGGUGCUCGAGUGGCGAACGGGUGAGUAACACGUGAGUAACCUGCCCUUGACUUUGGGAUAACUUCAGGAAACUGGGGCUAAUACCGGAUAGGAGCUCCUGCUGCAUGGUGGGGGUUGGAAAGUUUCGGCGGUUGGGGAUGGACUCGCGGCUUAUCAGCUUGUUGGUGGGGUAGUGGCUUACCAAGGCUUUGACGGGUAGCCGGCCUGAGAGGGUGACCGGCAACAUUGGGACUGAGAUACGGCCCAGACUCCUACGGGAGGCAGCAGUGGGGAAUAUUGCACAAUGGGCGGAAGCCUGAUGCAGCAACGCCGCGUGCGGGAUGACGGCCUUCGGGUGGUAAACCGCUUUCGCCUGUGACGAAGCGUGAGUGACGGUAAUGGGGAAAGAAGCACCGGCUAACUACGU